AGCGAACGCUGGCGGCAUGCUUAACACAUGCAAGUCGCGCGGGUGGUUUCGGCCAUCAGCGGCGGACGGGUGAGUAUCGCGUAGGAAUGUAUCCCGAGGUGGGGGACAACCCUGGGAAACUGGGGCUAAUACCGCAUGGGGCCUGUGGGUCAAAGCCUUAGGGCGCCUUGGGAGCAGCCUGCGUCCGAUUAGGUAGUUGGUGGGGUAAAGGCCUACCAAGCCUGCGAUCGGUAGCUGGUCUGAGAGGACGAUCAGCCACACUGGGACUGAGACACGGCCCAGACUCCAACGGGAGGCAGCAGUGGGGAAUAUUGGACAAUGGGCGCAAGCCUGAUCCAGCAAUGCCGCGUGGGUGAAGAAGGUCUUCGGAUUGUAAAGCCCUUUCGGCGGGGACGAUGAUGACGGUACCCGCAGAAGAAGCCCCGGCUAACUUCGUG
rnacentral:rRNA from 1 species